GACGAACGCUGGCGGCGUGCUUAACACAUGCAAGUCGAACGGAAAGGCCCUGCUUUUGUGGGGUGCUCGAGUGGCGAACGGGUGAGUAACACGGGAGUAACCUGCCCUUGACUUUGGGAUAACUUCAGGAAACUGGGGCUAAUACCGGAUAGGAGCUCCUGCUGCAGGGUGGGGGUUGGAAAGUUUCGGCGGUUGGGGAUGGACUCGCGGCUUAUCAGCUUGUUGGUGGGGUAGUGGCUUACCAAGGCUUUGACGGGUAGCCGGCCUGAGAGGGUGACCGGCCACAUUGGGACUGAGAUACGGCCCAGACUCCUACGGGCGGCAGCAGUGGGGAAUAUUGCACAAUGGGCGGAAGCCUGAUGCAGCAACGCCGCGUGCGGGAUGACGGCCUUCGGGUUGUAAACCGCUUUCGCCUGUGACGAAGCGUGAGUGACGGUAAUGGGUAAAGAAGCACCGGCUAACUACGUG
rnacentral:rRNA from 1 species